rnacentral:rRNA from 1 species
UCCUUUAAGUUUCAGUCUUGCGACCGUACUCCCCAGGCGGCUAGCUUAACGGCUUCCCUGCGACACUUCAUUCGCGACUUGCGAAUGAAUCAUCUAGCUAGCAUCGCUUACGGCUGGGACUACCCGGGUAUCUAAUCCGGUUCGCUCCCCCAGCUUUCAUCCCUCACCGUCGAGCGCGUUCUGGCGGACCGCCUUCGCCACUGGUGGUCUUCCGCGGAUCAAAGGAUUUUACCCCUACACGCGGAGUACCGCCCGCCUCUCCCGCCUCCUAGUCCCGCGGUAUCCUCUGCAGGUCAACCGUUAAGCGGUUGGAUUUAACAGAGGACCUACGGAACCGGCUACGGAUGCUUUAGGCCCAAUAAUCGCCCCGACCACUCGAGGAGCUGGUAUUACCGCGGCGGCUGACACCAGGCUUGCCCUCCCCUUAUUCGCCUGCC